AGUUCUCCAAUUAACUCCACUCAUCACCUCGCAUAUCACAACCGUUUUCGCGCUAUCGUUUUCUCCACUUCGUCUGCUCUACACUUGGUCAUCGAACAAAAGGGCGUCUAUAAAAGUGGCGACGAGGACGACUCCAGCGUGUACAGUAAGAAGGAAGUGUUAAUUAAUCAGCGACGGAUCUACUUGAUAAAUUCGCGCCCCGUUUACUGUAUAACACCGCACGUCAAGCAUCAAGACACGACGCCGGCGUGAUAAUCAACGGAAAUUUGUCACCAGAGUUCCUCAUGAGCACGUAAGAUCGAGCGCAAAAAAAAAAAAAAAAGUUUUUUUUAUCAACUGCCUGAAUAGAAAAUCGAAUUUCAUCUUUACCCAGUGAAUCCAAUAGGUCGGAUCGUUUCCAGUCGACUUCCUGGCGAUUCAUUUGAAACGUGUUUCCAGUGCGAUUGAAUACGGGGAGCGUUUGCUCGAUUGCUGGAAAAAUCCAAAAGUCCAUUUUAUUUCAAGCGAGAGAUUAUCCGAAGCAGAGUGCAGCAAAUUGGAAUUGCAGGAUAUGUUUUGGAAGCGUGGAAGCAAUGGCCCACAGGACGCAGCUCAGGAUAUGUAGAAAUGCAGAACCAUGGCAACGGCCGAACGUUUUGGUCACGACCAGAGACGAAGAUGAUGUACUACCAGACAACUCGGCGCCUCCAAAUGAAGAGCCGCCCAUGGGCGUGAAAGAAGUUACUCCAAAUGGAGGCAGGAAGCGAAGACAUCCAGCUUCCGUAUCCGAUCAAAUGGAACCUCGGCGAUCAAAACGUUCCAGGAAAAUAAACCGCAGUGAUGAAUAUGACUAUAGUUAAAAUGUUUAUAUAAGGCAAUGCAAAAAUUUCGAUUUUGAAUUCAAUUAUUAAGUAACUCGAUUUGAAAAAGUUUCGGUCUGAAAAUGAAUUGUUUUUGUUAGAGGGAAGGAUUGAUAGAUACCGGUGCAUUUCAUGCUCCAUCAAAUGUCAACGUCAAUUGACGUAUCGAUUCCGAUCGUCUCGAUCGGCUUAAACGAACGAAAAGCAUAAAAAAUAAAUUAGACAUGUAGUCUA